CAGUAGCCGCGGGAAUACGAAGGGUGCAAGCGUUACUCGGAAUUACUGGGCGUAAAGCGUGCGUAGGCGGAUAUUUAAGUCAGGGGUGAAAUCCCGCAGCUCAACUGCGGAACUGCCUUUGAUACUGGGUAUCUUGAGUAUGGAAGAGGUUAGUGGAAUUGCGAGUGUAGAGGUGAAAUUCGUAGAUAUUCGCAGGAACACCAGUGGCGAAGGCGGCUAACUGGUCCAUAACUGACGCUGAGGUGCGAAAGCGUGGGGAGCAAACAGGAUUAGAUACCCGCGUAGUCCCUGUCUCUUAUAA
rnacentral:rRNA from 1 species